CCUGAAGAGGAUGAGAACCUCCGGGGGCAGGGAGGUUCGACUCGAGCGAAGCGAGAGAACGUUGCGCCAGCAACGGCCCGCAGGGCGAGCCACGAAGUGGCGAGUAAUCCUCUAUCACCGACC
rnacentral:sRNA from 1 species